rnacentral:rRNA from 1 species
CCUACGGGAGGCAGCAGUGGGGAAUAUUGGACAAUGGGGGCAACCCUGAUCCAGCCAUGCCGCGUGUGUGAAGAAGGCCCUCGGGUUGUAAAGCACUUUCAGUGAGGAAGAACGCCUGGUGGUUAAUACCCAUCAGGAAAGACAUCACUCACAGAAGAAGCACCGGCUAACUCCGUGCCAGCAGCCGCGGUAGUACGGAGGGUGCGAGCGUUAAUCGGAAUUACUGGGCGUAAAGCGCGCGUAGGUGGCUUGAUAAGCCGGUUGUGAAAGCCCCGGGCUCAACCUGGGAACGGCAUCCGGAACUGUCAAGCUAGAGUGCAGGAGAGGAAGGUAGAAUUCCCGGUGUAGCGGUGAAAUGCGUAGAGAUCGGGAGGAAUACCAGUGGCGAAGGCGGCCUUCUGGACUGACACUGACACUGAGGUGCGAAAGCGUGGGUAGCAAACAGGAUUAGAUACCCUAGUAGUC